rnacentral:rRNA from 1 species
AACGAACGCUGGCGGCGUGCCUAACACAUGCAAGUCGAACGAGAAAGGGGCUUCGGCUCCGAGUAAAGUGGCGCACGGGUGAGUAACACGUGGGUAACCUGCCUCUAAGAUUGGGAUAACUCGUCGAAAGAUGAGCUAAUACCGAAUAAGACCACAGUUCCCGCGGGAACAGGGGUCAAAGGUAGCCUCUGCUUGCAAGCUAUCACUUAGAGAUGGGCCUGCGCACCAUUAGCUAGUUGGUAGGGUAACGGCCUACCAAGGCAAAGAUGGUUAGCUGGUCUGAGAGGAUGAUCAGCCACACUGGAACUGAGACACGGUCCAGACUCCUACGGGAGGCAGCAGUGGGGAAUAUUGCGCAAGGGGCGAAAGCUUGACGCAGCAACGCCGCGGGAGUGAUGAAGGCCUUCGGGUCGUAAAGCUCUGUCGGGAGGAACGAAUGCUCCUGAGGUUAACAGCCUCGGGAGGUGACGGUACCUUCAAAGGAAGCACCGGCUAACUCUGUG